rnacentral:rRNA from 1 species
CCCUUAGAUGUUCUGGGCCGCACGCGCGCUACACUGAUGCAUUCAACGAGCCUAUCCUUGACCGACAGGUCCGGGUAAUCUUUGAAUCUGCAUCGUGACGGGGAUAGAUUAUUGCAAUUAUUAAUCUUCAACGAGGAAUGCCUAGUAGGCGCAAGUCAUCAGCUUGCGUCGAUUACGUCCCUGCCCUUUGUACACACCGCCCGUCGCUCCUACCGAUUGGGUGUGCUGGUGAAAUGUUCGGAUCGGCCGUUUGUCGCGGUUUCCGCGUCAUGUGGCUGAGAAGUUCAUUAAACCCUCCCAACUAGAGGAAGGAGAAGUCGUAACA